rnacentral:rRNA from 1 species
GACGUAGGGCGCGAGCGUUGUCCGGAUUUAUUGGGCGUAAAGAGCUCGUAGGCGGCUUGUCGCGUCGUUCGUGAAAACCCGGGGCUCAACUCCGGGCUUGCGGGCGAUACGGGCAGGCUAGAGUUCGGUAGGGGAGACUGGAAUUCCUGGUGUAGCGGUGAAAUGCGCAGAUAUCAGGAGGAACACCGGUGGCGAAGGCGGCCUGCUGGGCAGUUGCUGACACUGAGGCGCGACAGCGUGGGGAGCAAACAGG